rnacentral:rRNA from 1 species
AAUAAGAGGUCCCGCCUGCCCGGUGACUAAAGUUAAACGGCCGCGGUAUUUUGACCGUGCAAAGGUAGCGCAAUCACUUGUCUCUUAAAUGGGGACCUGUAUGAAUGGCAUCACGAGGGCUUAACUGUCUCCUUUCUUAGGCCAACGAGAUUGAUCUCUCCGUGCAGAAGCGGAGAUACCACCAUAAGACGAGAAGACCCUAUGGAGCUUUAGACACUAAGGCAGCUUACGUUAAGCACCCCUUCAUACAGGCCUAAACUGUGUAUGUUCUGCCCGAAUGUCUUCGGUUGGGGCGACCCUGGGGAGAGAAAAAACCCCCACGAGGACUGGAAGCAUGCUUCCAGAACAGAGAGCCACUGCUCUAAGAACCAAAACUUUUGACCAUCAGAUCCGGCUAAGCCGAUCAACGGACCGAGUUACCCUAGGGAUAACAGCGCAAUCCCCUUAUAGAGGCCUUAUCGACAAGGGGGUUUACGACCUCGAUGUUGGAUCAGGACAUCCUAAUGGCGCAGCCGUUAUUAAGGGUUCGUUUGUUCAACGAUUAAAGUCCU